rnacentral:piRNA from 2 species
UGAUUUGCAAACCACUGGAGAAUCUUCUC